AGGAUGCUGGGUGGGGCUAUGAGGCUUUGGUGCCCCUGAGGUUACGAACUUGUAGAGGAUUUUGCAGCGUUUCCUUUACCAGAUUGGUGUCUCCAUGGCUGAGUUAGGCAAUGAAAUGUGGGUGGAAAUAAAGUACACUACUUCCCGGCUUGGUCCCUAAAAAUCUCCCAUGGGUUCUCCUCUUUCAUUUUCUUCAUCUACUGGCUGACUGGAGAGGACACCAGAAACCUAUGAGAGCUUAUGGUCCCUUCUGGAGAAAGAUCCGUGA